rnacentral:rRNA from 1 species
ACUCAAAUGAAUAGACGGGGACUCGCACAAGCGGUGGAUUAUGUGGUUUAAUUCGUCGGUAAACGAAGAACCUUACCAGGGUUAGAAAUCCUGUCGAAGGCACUGGGAAACCAGUGUCGUCCGCAAGGACGGCAGGACAGGUGAUGCAUGGCCGUCGUCAGUUCGUGGUUUGAAUUGUUCCCUUAAGUGGGCUAACGAACGCAACCCUCGUCGUCUGUUAUACGUGUCAGGCGAGACUGCCCAGCCCAAAGUGCACAAAGCAAUUUGCGCAUUUCGGGCUGGGAGGAAGGAGAGGAUGACGCCAGGUCAGCAUGUCCCUUUGAUAUCCUGGGCCACACACAUAAUACAAUGGUUGCUACAAUGGGCAGCGACGGAGCGAUCCUGAGCCAAUCCUAUAAAGGCAGCCCUAGUUCGGAUUGAAGUCUGCAACUCGACUUCAUGAAGCUGGAAUCGCUAGUAAUCGCAGGUCAGCCAAACUGCGGUGAAUACGUUCUCGAGUCUUGUACACACCGCCCGU